UCCAACCAGAAACAUUAUUAUGCCAACCACGGUCAAAACAAAAUAAAUUUAACAAUCAACAAAAAAUUACUUUAGAAUUUGCUCAAAUUGCUAGUUAUUGAUGCACAAAAAUACUAACGUAUGAAAGCUUUAAUUAACAAGAGAGCGGCGAAGUCGAUCUUACAGAAUCGUAAGUAUUCAACAUUGAGCUAUUACCGAUAUAAGCUAUGUUCGACUCGCCUUUCCAAUUUCCGAGUUUGAGAACAUGACCUACUACCAAUGAAAAUAGGUUAAUUUCCUAGACGUCAAAUUUAAUGAAACAACGAAAAUGAAGAAGAAAAAAACGACGACUGCAAACAAUAUACGAACCAUAUUGUGAAGAUCGGAGUUGAAUCCAUAGGGUUUGGGAGAAACAGCGGUAGAGACGACGAUAGCCACAGAUCAAGGCAUUCAUUCUCUUCUGUCACAAACCAAACAUCAAAUCAAAGACCCCAAAACACGAAGGAAACACUUAAUCAAAGAGAUUAAAGAUCCAGUACCAAACAAAGUAACAGAUCACAGAAAUCCUUGCACGAGGAGAGCGCUUCAUGAGAUCUCGGCCUCACAUCUCUCACCAAGGUUGUUGACGUUCGUUCGCGCCUGAAGCCCGCAACAUAGACUGUAGUCGCUCAUCAUCGCCCUAAUCUUAUCCGUCGAAACAAACCGGCGCCAUCCCCAUGUUUUUUCUCUCAGACGAAAAACAAGAUUAGCUCGGUGGGUUACGGUUUGCACAUGGAGCUUGAGGAAAUGCGGGUUUCGGUGGGUUAGGAUUUGCCUGAGACCAAUAAAAAGUGCCUUAAUGGUCAAACGAGAUAAAGACAACUAUGAUGUGGGUUAUCGAAGAGAGAACGAAGGAUAAGAUGGGAUUUAGGGAUUUCAAGCGAGAGAGAGUGAGCCGAGGAGACGACCUAAAGCAAAAGAUAGAUAACAGAAGGAGAAUGUAAUGUGUUUACAUUACUCAACCUUUCAAUUUUUU
rnacentral:lncRNA from 1 species